rnacentral:rRNA from 1 species
UACAGAGGUCUCAAGCGUUUGUUCGGAUUCAUUGGGCGUAAAGGGUGCGUAGGUGGCGGGGUAAGUCAGGUGUGAAAUUUCGGAGCUUAACUCCGAAACUGCAUUUGAUACUGCCUUGCUUGAGGACUUGGAGAGGAGACUGGAAUUCACGGUGUAGCAGUGAAAUGCGUAGAGAUCGUGAGGAAGACCAGUGGCGAAGGCGGGUCUCUGGACAGUUCCUGACACUGAGGCACGAAGGCCAGGGGAGCAAACGGG